UUCGUUCAUCUUAACUGACGGAAGUAGAAUACUGCAAGGGUAUUCGAAGGAACGCAUU
rnacentral:ncRNA from 10 species